GACGAACGCUGGCGGCGUGCUUAACACAUGCAAGUCGAGCGGUAAGGCCCUUUCGGGGGUACACGAGCGGCGAACGGGUGAGUAACACGUGGGUGACCUGCCCUCAGCUCUGGGAUAAGCCUGGGAAACUGGGUCUAAUACCGGAUAUGACUCCAUGACGCAUGUUGUGGGGUGGAAAGCCUUGUGCGGCUGAGGAUGGGCCCGCGGCCUAUCAGCUUGUUGGUGGGGGGAU
rnacentral:rRNA from 1 species